UACGUAGGGAGCAAGCGUUGUCCGGAAUCAUUGGGCGUAAAGCGCGCGUAGGUGGUUUCGUAAGUCCGUUGUGAAAGUCAAAGGCUCAACCUUUGAAAGCCGAUGGAUACUGUGAAGCUAGAGUACGGAAGAGGCGAGUGGAAUUCCUGGUGUAGCGGUGGAAUGCGCAGAUAUCAGGAGGAACACCAAUAGCGAAGGCAGCUCGCUGGGACGUUACUGACACUGAGGCGCGAAAGCGUGGGGAGCGAACAGG
rnacentral:rRNA from 1 species